rnacentral:tRNA from 1 species
GCUAAAGUGGCAGAGGUUGUUUAAUGCGUUGGAUUUAAGCUUCAAAGAUGAUGUGGUCCUUUAGCU